rnacentral:rRNA from 1 species
GCCUAAAGCGUCCGUAGCCGGCUCUGUAAGUUUUCGGUUAAAUCUGUACGCUCAACGUACAGGCUGCUGGGAAUACUGCAGAGCUAGGGAGUGGGAGAGGUAGACGGUACUCGGGAGGAAGUGGUAAAAUGCUUUGAUCUCUCGAUGACCACCUGUGGCGAAGGCGGUCUACCAGAACACGUCCGACGGUGAGGGAUGAAAGCUGGGGGAGCAAACCGGAUUAGAUACCCGGGUAGUCCCAGCUGUAAACUAUGCAAACUCAGUGAUGCACUGGCUUGUGGCCAGUGCAGUGUUGCAGGGAAGCCGUUAAGUUUGCCGCCUGGGAAGUACGUACGCAAGUAUGAAACUUAAAGGAAUUGGCGGGGGAGCACCACAAGGGGUGAAGCCUGCGGUUCAAUUGGAGUCAACGCCAGAAAUCUUACCCGGAGAGACAGCAGAAUGAAGGUCAAGCUGAAGACUUUACCAGACAAGCUGAGAGGUGGUGCAUGGCCGUCGCCAGCUCGUGCCGUGAGAUGUCCUGUUAAGUCAGGUAACGAGCGAGAUCCCUGCCUCUAGUUGCCACCAUUACUCUCAGGAGUAGUGGGGCGAAUUAGCGGGACCGCCGCAGUUAAUGCGGAGGAAGGAAGGGGCCACGGCAGGUCAGUAUGCCCCGAA